UACGUAGGGGGCUAGCGUUGUCCGGAUUUAUUGGGCGUAAAGAGCGUGUAGGCGGCCAGGUAGGUCUGCUGUGAAAACUCGAGGCUCAACCUCGAGACGUCGGCGGAAACCAUCUGGCUAGAGUCCGGGAGAGGAGAGUGGAAUUCCUGGUGUAGCGGUGAAAUGCGCAGAUAUCAGGAAGAACACCAAUGGCGAAGGCAGCUCGCUGGGACGGUACUGACGCUGAGGCGCGAAAGCGUGGGGAGCGAACAGG
rnacentral:rRNA from 1 species